rnacentral:rRNA from 1 species
GUCAAGUAAGAAUACCCGCUGAACUUAAGCAUAUCAAUAAGCGGAGGAAAAGAAACUAACUAGGAUCCCCUUAGUAACGGCGAGUGAACUGGGAAGAGCUCAAAUUUUAAAUCACUUUGGUGAAUUGUAAUUUGAAGAAAGUGUUUUGACUUUUCAGUUUAAUCUAAAUCCUUUGGGAUGAGGUAUCAUAGAGGGUGAGAAUCCCGUUUGUGAUUAAACCUCGGAUUGCACUAAUUCACUUUCUAAGAGUCGAGUUGUUUGGGAUUGCAGCUCUAAAUGGGUGGUAAAUUUCACCUAAGGCUAAAUAUAUGCAAGAGACCGAUAGCGAACAAGUACCGUGAGGGAAAGAUUAAAAGAACUUUGAAAAGAGAGUUAAACAGUACGUGAAAUUGUUGAAAGGGAAACGAUUGAAGUCAGUCAUGCUAGUGAGGAAUCAACUUGGUGGUUUACUUCCUUGUGUAUUUUCUUACUUGGCAGGUUAGCAUCAAUUUUGGUUGUCAUCAAAUAAUUGGGGGAAUGUGGCUUUUCUUCGGGAAAGUGUUAUAGACCUUGAUAGAUGUGGCGACUGAGAUUGAGGUUUGCAGCGAAUGCCUUGGGCUAGUCAUCUGUCUUCUGACCGUCACCUCGCUUUUGACAGCUUGCUGAUGAUUGCGGGAUUUGGUGGCCUAGAAGUUAGAAUGUACAUAAAUUCGCUAAGGAUGCUGACGUAAUGGCUUUAAACGACCCGUCUUGAAACACGGACCAAGGAGUCUAACAUGUGUGCGAGUGUU